UGGAGUAGAACUAUCACAUAGGGCUUCCAAGGAGCAGCUAGUGGGUUCAAACUACUGACCUUUGGGUUAGCAGCCAAGCUCUUAACCACUGUGCCACCAAGUCUCCCUUCUGUUUAUUGAGUAGCUGCAAAGUGCCUGCAGCUGUGGUAGGUGCUGUAGGACAGUGCUACUUCAAGUGUGAUUCGUGGACUGACUGGUACAGGCCCACAGACAGUUUGUUAUCGGUCUGAGGCAAGAGGGUACAGAAAUGGAGAGUGAGCCACUUUUAAAGCAAUUUGAUAGUCAAGCAUGUGAUCCUUGGACUUAUUGCUUCUUUUUCUCCCUCCCUCUUUCUCUCUUGUAACUCAUUUUAAUGGUAUUUACAGAAGUAUUAGUUCAAGAUGGAUGGAGGUUCAAAACAGCAAAAACAACACCUGUUUCUUUGGCUGGGGGCCUUUGCCUCUGAGAGCUCAGCUCACUCAGUCACAUGACUGCCAGGAUGCCUGUCUCUUCUCAUUUCCCUCCUACCUCCUCCAUGUCAGAAAGCCUAAGAUGAUCUCAGAGAUUUCAGGAGCCCUGUUUUAGUCUAUAUUCUCUAAUCUCUGCCCUGAUACAGAAGGAAAAUGAUUCUGAUUGCCGCCUUUAGCCUUUUAUUUUCCUAUGAGGGCAUGCUGUGUAACGAAGUAAUUCAGAGUCCCACGGAACAGACAGUGGGGCUGGGCGGUGAGGCAAUGCUGCUCUGCACUUACAAAUUGGAGAUCUCAAAUCCAGAUUUAUUCUGGUACCGGAUGAGGCCAGAUCACUCCUUUCAGUUUGUCCUUUACAGGGAUAACAGCAGAUCCAAAGAUGCAGAUUUUACUCAAGGCCGGUUUUCUGUGAAGCACAGUCAGACCCAGAAAACCUUCCACUUGGUCAUCUCCUUAGUGAGGGCUGAAGACAGUGCCACUUACUACUGUGCCUAUGCUCCCACGGUGAUGCAGGUGCCCAGGAAGUCCGCACACAAACCCCUGGGGCAUAGGCCAGCACGGCGGAGCAACCUCUCAGGGGAAGUCAUACCCUUGAACAUGGCAUCCUUCGUCUUAGUCAUUUUGUGCCCCAGCCUGUCCUUUAAACCAACCAAACCAAACCAGUUGUCAUCGAGUCAAUUCCAACACACAGUGACUCCUUGUUUGCCAGACUAGAACUGUAUUCCAUAGGGUUUUCAGUGGCUGAUUUUUCAAGUAGAUCUCAAGG